UACGGGGGGGGGCAAGCGUUGUUCGGAAUUACUGGGCGUAAAGGGCUCGUAGGCGGCCAACUAAGUCGGACGUGAAAUCCCUCGGCUUAACCGAGGAACUGCGUCCGAUACUGGAUGGCUUGAGUUUGGGAGAGGGAUGCGGAAUUCCAGGUGUAGCGGUGAAAUGCGUAGAUAUCUGGAGGAACACCUGUGGCGAAAGCGGCGCACUGGACCACAACUGACGCUGGAGGCGCGAAAGCUAGGGGAGCAACAGG
rnacentral:rRNA from 1 species